GGUCCAUACAGUGUUAUUGAGAAUCACGCACCAUCUGAUGCAUAUAGAAUCUCACACAAGAAUCACGAGUCCUUUCAGAAGAAGGAAUGCUGGGAAAAUGAAACGGGGAUAGAGUUUGUUACCAUUAGAAAAUCAACGACACAGUGGUGAUUUCUUAUAGUUACUGAACUCCUAUCUUGUACAGACAGCCUCAAAGAUAAGUUUGAACAGUGCUGUACAGAUGUCUAACAAAAACUCACACGGCCAGCCUUUCAUCCUUCAUUUCCGAGGAAAACAUCGACCAAAUUCUAUUUACUCUUCACAACAACCUUUUCGGAGAGGUAUGGACGGUUCAUCGUAGAUUCAUCUCAAAGAAGAGCCUUGGACUAGAAGCUCAUACAUACGCAUAAGGUGUUGUUAAACCUUCAGCAACUCCUGAAAGACAGGUCAGUCCAUCAGUGCACCACUGGAAAAGAGGAAGGGGGGAGAGAGAGCGGGGAGGGAGGGAUGGGGUUGAUGGAAAGGGAAGGGGGUUUUGUAGGGUUAGGAUAUUUAUUAUUUAGGUUUAUGAUGUUUUUUUUAUAUUUUAUUUUAGAUUAAUUAAACCGGUCCGGUUUGGUCCGGUUUAAUCGGUUUAAGCUUUUUAAAACCGGAACCGAACCGAACCGGGUGGUUUUUUUAAAUUUUUUAAUCGGUUUAUUCGGUUUUUUCUAUCCGUUCGGUUUUUUUGGUUAAUUUUUUUUCGAUUUAAUUGGUUGGUCGGUUUUUUUGAACACCCCUAGAUAAUAUCAUCUUAGAUUAAUUUUUUAACAUGUAAAAUUUAAGUCUAAUUCAAUAAUUAAAUAAAAAAAAUUACCUCUUCCUGCCGGUCUUAAAUAUUCUUUAAAUAUGAACAUAUGAAUUACAUAUUAUGUUAUAUAUGUAGAGAGAGAGAGAGAGAGAGAAAAUAUCACAGCUGCAUUUGAUAGAGUAAAUGGCAAGUAGGAAAUAAAAUCGAAUUACAGUGAAGUUUGAAUGAAAUCCUCCAUGUAAGUAAAGAGGUCAGAUAGAGUAAGCUUCACGUGAGCUUUCAUAUUAUUUUACACUCAACCUUAUCAAACACCAAAGCAAAUAAUUAAUACACUCAGAGCAAGUUCUAAAGAGUUCUGUCUUUCUCACCUAUGUAUCAUGAAAAUAAAUGUUUGGGAUGUGAGAAAUCUUUUGCCAAUCUUCACCCAUCUCCUCCUUCCCGUAACGUUUCCUUAGAUUGGGGCAACUUCUUAUCUCCAAUUCCUGUAGAGGCGCUGCCAAAACAUAGUCUGGUAGUGCUCUCAACAACGGGCACCAAUGAAUCAUCAACUUUUGAAGUUGUGGCAUAAUGGAUAUUAUUGAAGUUGUGUUGGCAUCUUCUUCUCCCACUCUCCUUUCAAUUCCAACCCACUCUUCUACUUCUCCGAGAAUUUGAAUCUUAAGUUUUUUUAAUUUGGGGAAAGCAGUGACCCUUGCAAUUUCUCCUUCAUUAAUACUGGCAUUCUCAUCUUUUUCUAUACCUAAAAAUCCAGCAUCCAACCUUCUCACCUUCAACAACGUCAAUUCCAGUCUUUCAAGGUUGGACAAUCUUCCUAAUGGAGGCAAGACCUCCACGUUUCCACAAUGAUCAAGUCUAAGCUUCUGUAAUCUGGUUAAUGUCAUCAUCCAAUUUGGCAAAUCCAACCCUUCGUACCUAGAAUAUGGUUAGAUUUUCCAAGUUUGGCGGAGGCUGUAAACCUUCAAUUAAAAUGCCGUUAUCCUGGUUGUGGUUGAAACCUAAUCCCAAACGAAGCAGGCGCUUCUUAUUCUUGAGUUGAGCUUCUGCAGCGUCACUUGCAUCUUCUUUACCUCCUCCUAGAUUCCGUAUAUUAAGAGUCCCUCCAAUGUGAUUUAAGUUUUUAAUUCUCGUAGAUUAGCUGCUUUACUUUCAUUCUCAUAAACACCCCCCACAAUAAACUUAUCUAAUGUUCGAAGACAUGUUAUCCUCUCUAUUCCCUUUGGUAUGAAGGCCACACCUGAACCAUCAAUCUGGAGAUGCCUUAAUUUGAUAAGUUUUCCAAUCGCCCGAGGUAAUUCCUUGAGAGAACGACAAUAAGUAACGUCUAGGGAUUGCAGAUUGCAUAAAUCACACAUGGUUUCUGGCAGGGACUCCAACUCUCUACAAGAUGCCAAAUUGAGGUGUCUCAAAUGUAUCAAUUUCACUACCUGAUUUGAUAUUUCUUCGAUAGAAGACUCUGACAAAUUCAAUGACCUGAUGCAUGUUAACUGCUUGAAUAAAUCAGGUAGUGCAGCUCCAAGCGAAGGGUCUGUAGUGUGGAUCAAGAGGCUGCGAAGACCUUUUGCUUUGUGAAUGGACUCAGGAAAAAAGGUCUCCUCUGACAGCAUCAUGCUUAAAUGACGAACCCUUUCAAUUGAAGUCUCCACUGUUGCUUCUCCAAGUGUAUUGACAUCCACUGUUAGACAUUCAUUUUUUGUCAUAUAUUGGGCAAAAUCAUGCACUAUAUCAUGCAUCUUGAAUUUCAUUCCUUCAAACCGAUGCCUCUCAAAAUCUUGGAAGAAAGAGCGCGCUGCUAAGACUUGAAAGUACUGCUCUCCUACAAGCUCCAUAUCUCCACCUGAAGUCUCCUUGAGGUAACCUUGAGCCAUCCACAUCUUCACCAAUUCAUAUUUUCCCAUCUUGUAGUCUUUUGGAAACAUGGCACAAUACAAGAAACAUCGUCUUACCACAGAAGGUAAAUCGUAGUAACUCAAAAGCAAAGGUAUAAAUAUUCGUCGUUCAAUCUGAUCUCUAUCAACCUCAUCUAGCCUCCACAGUUCGCUAGAUAAAACACGUUCCCAUUCUUCUCUUGUUCUUUUAGACUGCAUUAGACCUCCUAAUACCUUGGCAGCUAGAGGCAAGCCCUUGCACUUGUUUGCAAUUUUAUCGCCGAUAUCUGUCAAUCUUUUGCGCUCAUCUUCGCUUCUUUCCUGGAAUGCCAGAUGAUUGAAUAUUGACCUGCAUACCUCAUCGGACAAUUUCUCAAUGUUGAUCCGGUGGUCACUUCCCAUCAUCGUUGCCACAGUGUCCUUACGAGUGGUCACUAGAAUUCUGCUUCCUCGUGCACAGCCUGUGAGAGAUGGUUUCAGUUGUUCCCAUUGUCCAUGAUUUUCGGUCCAUACAUCAUCAAGGACAAGAAGGAACCUCUUUCCCUUAAUGGAUUCAGAAACCCUUCGCAAAAGGGAUUGCAAUCCUACCAAAUCAGAUGCUCUCCCUUCAAGCUCCUCAAGGAUAGCUUUGGCUAUUCUAACCUCAUCAAAUGGUUCUGAAACACACACCCAUAUCUUUUUCUUAAAAUGAGCCGUAACCUCAGAAUCAUUAAAGGCUAGUUGGGCGAGAGUUGUUUUUCCAAUUCCGCCCAGCCCUACUAGAGAGAUGACAUCCACGUCCCGUGCUUCUUGACUACUUUCAGCCAGCAACUUGCUUACAACAUUUCUCUUUUCACCAUCUCGACCAAUCACGCUUGAUUCAUCAACAAAGGAGGUAGUUGUUGGUCGCUGGAGUUCAUCAGUGGCUUUGUACAGAUCAAAGCCAUACUUAGCUCUCUCUUUGGCAAUGUCAUCCACUUUUUCAUUAACUUCUUUGAUCUUCAGGGCAAUGUCGCGACGUCGAACCACUUGAUUGAAACAAAAGCAAGGAGUCCCCAGGAAGGAAAACCGUAUCUUCUGUCGGCUGUGAGUAUUUUCUUCAGCUUCCUCCAUUUUCCAUCUAAGAAUUGCAGUGCUCCAUUCAUCUAGCACGUCAUCCAUAUCAUAACAUGCAUCUUUGAGCUUGUCUACCCAAUGUCUUACAGCCUUAUCCUUAACUUGUUUUCUAUCUGCAUCUUCAAGGACAGAUUGGAUAUCAAGGAGAUUGCUUUUCAGCUUGUCACAUUGUUCCUUCACACCCACUACUAGGUUCACCUCUUCUUGUACCUAUUAGUGUGCAAAGGAAAAGAAACGUUAAGCAUAGGAAACAUUUCUAUGACAAUUUCACACCCCCUACUAGGUUCACCUCUUCCUGUACCUAUUAGUGUAGAAAAUACAAGUUCAAGCGUAGGAAACAUUUCUAUUCUGUAUUAAUAUAUUUUAUUGUGAAAUGGAUUUACUAUAUUAAUAAUUUAUAUAUAAAAUAUUUAUUAGAAAUAAUAAUAUUUCUUUUUUCUUUUUAUCAUCAUGAUGAUGAUAUCAGUCUGCACUAUGCUACUGUACAAGAAGGUAUAAAAUGAAUCUUAAAUGGUAAAAUGUUAAACCUGUACGUGUGUGUGUGUGUAUAUAUGUGUGUAUGGAAAGAGUUCAAUGUUCUCACGAGAGAAGUAAUAUUUCCCCUUUGAACCGACAUAAAAUCUGGUUUUCAUUUUACAUUAAAAUAUAGAUAUAUGGAUGUAUAAAGGCAAGUGAAUAAAAGGAUCUAGCUUACCAAAAAAAAAGAAUAAAAGGAUCUGCAUGUAUAUAUUUGUGAAGUCAAUUUACAAAUUAAGGCAUGAUAAUAAGAUUGUGUGAUAACUAUAUAGUUUUAAUUCACACCAAAUACUCACUCGCUAAUCCUUUGAACUUUUUAUUGAUUAUUUUACCUUUAAUAGUUCAGUUUAAAGAGAAUUGGCAACUCUUGUUUUGUCUUUUUUGGUUUUCUUAUAUCUGGAAUGAUAUAUUUUCUUUAGGUUAUUUUUAGAAAUAUGAAAAAUAAUAAAACUAGAAAAAGAAUUCUUUAAUAAAAUCGAAAUAUAUACUUGAGGAUUUAAAAUAUUAUUUUUAUUUUUUCAAGUUAAAAGUAUUCUUUUUAUGAGAGGAAGAAAAAAAGCUUGAACUUUAUAUAUAUUUCUUAUCUUUGCUAGGUAAAUCAGGUUAUUGCAGAUGGCAGAAAAAUACCUGUUGAGCAACGAUCGUGGUUAACUGCUCCAAGAUCGGAGAUAGAAGUGCCUCAGCCAUCGCCUGUUUAGUUCUGAUUGGAGAGAGAGAGUGAGAGAGUGAGAGAGAGAGUGAGAGAGAGAGAGAGAAGCAGUGAUGAUAGGAAGACAGAGAGAAAGAGAGGGUGAAGGGAAGGCGGCUGAUUGUGAAUGGAAGCUAGUUUAUAUACUUGGGUUUCUCGUUGCUGGUGGAGUUCUUGCAACUUGUAGUUUUUUUUACGAGUGAAGCUUUGUAUUUUAGUGUCUCCACAUUUUUUUAUUAGUUUUUGUAGGCCUGUGGUAAAGGGAGACCAGCACAACUUGUAAUUUUAGCUGGCAGUAAACCUGAAGUAAUGAGAAAAUAAUUUGAUUUAGUUGUUUCUGGUUAUGGGACACAAAGUGGUGUUUUUUAUUUAAAAAAAAACAAACAGAGGGAAUGCAAGAAAGAAAGUCACAGCUGCAUUUGAUAGAAUAAAUGUAAGUAGGAAAUAAAAUCCAAUUCAAGAAUAGAUUACAAAUGAUUUUAAUCCAUUUACAGAAAAAAUGUAUAUAAAAUAUAUGGUUUUAAAACAACAUUGAAUCAAAUCCACCAUAUAUACAAGGCUUACAAGCUAUUUAACAUAGUCGCAAACUCAAUAACACCAAAGCAUGCAUAUAAUAUUGGGUGUCAGAUUCUGUAUUUUCUAAACCUGAAACAACAAGCAAUUAAAUUCCAUUAAACAAGUUUUACUCGAGUCUACCAAGAUAUUUUAACCAGGUCAAACCAUAUUAAUUCUUUUUUUAUUAUGUUUUUUUUGAAGUUCUUACCUUAAUUACCAAAAAAUAUCUACUUAAUUUUGAGAUAUAUUAAAUUUGGUUUUAUAAACAGUACCUUGAUAUUAUUUUGACUGAAAUUGAUUUUUCCAAAAAAAAAAACCAAUAAUAUUUAAAUAAGUUUUACUCGAGUCUAUCAAGAUGUUUUAACCAUAUUAAUUCAUUUCUUUAUUAUAGUUUUUGAAGUUCUUACCUUAAUUAUAAAAAAAUCCGUUUAAUUUUGGGAUAUAUUAAAUUUGGUCCAAUAAACAGUACCUUUUAUUUAGUUGAUCCAUUGAAUAUUUGGUGCCAUUCAAUUCAAUUUAAUCAAACUUUUAUUUGGUUGAGAAGAAUUUGGCAAUAAGAAUCUUGUAAUUUUGAUGAUGGCUCUUGAACUGGAAACCAUGUUUAUAUCGCAGAUAUAUUCUUGGACACCACUUAUUGGCAAACAAUUAGCCACUCUUAAAAACCAAAUCACAGGGAAGAGCCCAUCAACUCGAGGGUUACCAGGGGUUUACAUUUGCAUGUGAGCUGGGAUGCAAGAAUCAAUGAUUCUUAUGAGGUCGAUCACACAUUUCUAUGUGAAUUGGGGUGCACAAUACUUUUAAGGAGAGAACUCAUCCUAGUCCAAGCUCAUUUAACUUCGGAAUUCUUAUGGCAUAAGGUGUACAAUACUAGAGGGUAUUUGAGAGUGUGGUUGCUGUUACUUUUCAAAGUACUUUUCAUUUGGAAAAAACAUGUUAAUAAUAUUUUUUUUAUUUUUUAAAAAUUAUUUUUGAGAUCAGCACAUCAAAAUAAUUUAAAAACAUCAAAAAUAUAUUAAUUUAAAUACACAAGUCCUGGUUAAUAUCCUCUACCAUGCAAUGUAGUGGUCAGUCGCACCAUUUCAAAUUCUUAUUAUGUCUAGAAUCUAUGUCCAGGUACUGCAAUCUAUCUUGAAUUCAUGGUCUUCACUUAAUAACAAGUUUGGUCUGGAGAAUCCUUUAACUUUUUUUUUUUUUGGUAAUCCGGGAUGUCCGGGCUAGCUUAUGCGCACCACGACUAAUCCCCAGAUCUACUAAACAUCCUGCAAGUCCAGUAGGCAAGUAAAGCACCACGAGGGUGGCAGGCUAGUGCACAGAGAAGAUCAAACUCGGGACAGUCACAAGACAAACCUUGCAGUUGACCAUUGAGCUAGACCCUCAAGUGCGGAAAAUCCUUUAACUUGAAAGGGGCUGUGAUGGCAUUUGGAACGCACACGUACUUGGGGACUUGUCUUUUACUUGUAGAGAUCAUAUCUAUUGGUGAAUAUUUUUCGCGUUAGGUUUGGAUAACUUUAUUAUGAUUUAAUCCACUAAAUGAAUGUGUAUCAUCUUUAAAAAAGAAAAAGAAAAAAAAAACAGAGAGAGAGAGAGAGGAUGUGAGAAUAAAUGGGAAGUAGGAAAUAAAAUCCAAGUCAACAAUAGAUUACAAAUGAUUUCAAUCCAAUUACAGUAAGGAGGUGUAUGAAACAAACGAUGCUUAAUACAACACUGAAUGAAAUCCUCCAUUUGAUUAUACCAGAAUGCCCUUCGAUUUGAUUCCAAAAAUAUUAAGGGAAAAUCUUCAAAUGCACAAAGUAAAUCAGAAGCCACUCUGAAGUAGCUCUUCAGUAUCUUCUAAGCCCAAGCUGUCAAACACAUACCAAAAGCAAACGUGUCCAAUGAAUGGUAGAUGUUAAAAUGAGCAUUCCAUUUUCUGAAUGACAAAAAUCCCAGUGACCUCGCUAUGACUUACAUAAUUAAUUAAAAUGGAUUUGUUAAAAUAUAGUAAAAUAUUACACCGUUAAGAGUUAACACUGGUAGAAGAAUUUACAUGCUCCUGCCGGUUCUAAUUAAAGAGUUCUGUCUUUCUCACUUAUAAUAAUAUAUCAUGAAAAUAAAUGUUUGGGAUGUGAGAAAUCUUUUGCCAACCUUCACCCAUCUCCUCCUUCCCGUAACUUUUCAUUAGAAUGCAGCAACCACUUAUGUAUAAUUCCUGUAGAGGCGCUGCCAAAACAUAUAUAAAAGCUGUCCCUUUUAUGUCGGAUUAUGCAAAUAUGGAGGUAUCUAUAUUGAAUCUGAUAUCACAGUUUGAAUUUAUUGUCUUCCGUUAGUAAAUCUAUUGGUCUGAAGAAUCCUCUGGCUGGAAGUUCUUUGAAUGGAGGCACCAGGGGGCUUGCCUUUCACUAGCAGAAAUCAUAUUUAUUAUUGAAGAUUUUUGUGUUGGGUUUUGAUAAAUUUAUUUAGAUUUAAUCCACAAGAUCGAUGGGUAUCAUCUCUUUUAGAUGAAUGGUUUAACUUCCAAGUCUACCAUUCUGUCCGUUUGUUUACGUGGUUGUUUUUGCAUUUGAAACAGUCACAACAACUCGAUCAUUUGGUUAUGCUCCAACAACAUAUUUAUAGUAAUGAGGCCUACCAUUAAUGAUAAUAUUUGGUGCUAAAUUUCUUGUUGUGAAUUGCAGAAAACAGUUGCUUGAUCUUCACUAGGAUGGUGAUUGCAAAUAAUAAUUAUGCAACCCGGUGCGAGUUGCAUGUUAAAUAACUAGUGUAUAUGUAGAUACAGAUGGUGGCCUUUUGCGGUAUUAGGUUGAGAUUUUGGAUUUUUUUAUAAAAAAAAAAAUAAUAGCUAGCGUUCAUGUCCCCUGUAUAAACAAGGUUUUGAAGUAGAAGAUCUGAAAGCAAGCAACAUGGUUGAAAUUCUCAUGUUUAGUACAUAGAAUUGUCUACCCUUCAAACGUGUAAGAAGAGAUCGACGAUUCCGUCGAGACUCUAUUGUUGGCACUAAGAGAAAAUAGCCAACAGAAGGAGAACGUCGAGAAUGGCCUCUGUUUCACAUGAGGUUCAAAGAUCGGACAGGGACAUGUAGACGCCAAUCCCCUUAUCGCUCAAUCCACUCUUCCCUCUCCCACUCAAUGCCCCAUCGAUCCUUCCCUCUCAACAAUUUUUGUUUCUAUCUCCACUCCAAAUUACUAAAUACCUUCCCUCUAAUUUAUCCACGGCAUGCUAUUUUCAAGACUGGAUUUGUGUGCGGUGCUCUCAUGAUGAUGGCAAUCAGAAUCUUGUGAUUUUUGUUUUAUAUUCAAUGUGCUGGUUCUAUUAUGUUUAGAAUCAUUGUUUAUGCAAUUUUUCCUUUUUAUGUUGGGUUAAGCAAAUAUGGUGGGAUCUAUAUUGAUUCUGAUAUCAUAGUUUGAAUCUAUAUUGUCUUCCGUUAUUAAUGCUAUUGGUAUCAAGAAUCCUUUAGAAUAAUAGACCACUCGACUGGCUCCAAAAUCAACACGAUUUAAAUUAAUCAACACUAUGUUUUUAUACAGUGUGGGAUUAAUGAGGAUAUAAAUCUACAGACUCCAACAUCCAAAGUCUCAAUCUUAGAGUUAUUAACUAGUAUAGUAACGCCUCAUUAGCAAGAACCCAAAUCACUAAGCUCAAAUUACUAAUACAAAUUUACACCGAAUUUUAACAGAUUUCUACCAGCCAUGUCACUAAACUCAAAUCACUCCUAAUAAUCUCAAUAUAAAUCCAUUAACUACUAGACCAACACCUCAUUGGCUAGGAUCAACGUUGCUUUUCCGCAACAAUCAACAGCUUCUUCAAUUAGGAUGCUACAAGCCCUUGUCUAUAUACUAGCUUAAAUUGCAACAACCUUUGAUUCCGAGAGAAGUUUGGCCUGAUCCAACGGCAGUCAAUGCGUGCUCAAUCUGUACUACCUUUCCGGUAGGACUGAAAGUAGUGAGAGAAAAGGACCACUGGCUAUCACCCAUGGUUUAUUGCUUGAAGAUGCAGAGAGGAAAAACUGAGAAUGCGAGCGUGUGGGAGAGAAAGACUGGGAUAUUUACUUGGGGUUUGAACUUUGCUUUUCUUGUUGGAGGAGAAGGUGUUUUCUUAGGAGGGCUUUUACAAUGGAGUGUUUUGGGCUUUUAUGACGGCAGGUUAGUUCUCUUUACAUUGAGCUCAAUGAAGGCUUUAAUUUUUUAAACUUAACUUUAUCCGGGUCAGUUCACGGGAGGAGAAGUUUAAAUUAUUUUUUUAAGAAAAUAAAAUAACAUUAUUUUUAGUAAUUUUUUAAAUUAUAUUUUACCUGAGUCCACAGGUGAUGUAUAAAGUUUUUUUUUUUUAAAUAAUAUUUUUUUAAUAUUUACUUAGUAUUUGUAUACUAAAACAGUAAAACGUGUGAGAUUUUCACUUUAUAUUUGCUACGGUGCAAAGAUUUAUUUUUGUUAUUUUUUAGGUCUUGAUUAAAAAAGGAGAAAGAGAGGAGGUCACUGGAUUCCAACAAUAAAGAGAGAAACUUGUCGUUGACACUGACUUAAACAACUAAAAUAAAGGAUAUUUAUGUUAAAUUAUUAGGGGAGUUCCUAUUAGGUGUUUUUGUAACUUAAAAGUUCAUGAAAAAACGAAUAUAAACUCGGGUUGAUUUUUUUAUUUUAGACUGUGUUUAGUUUUUGAGGCAGCUUUUUGGAUCUAGUAUGUUUUCUUAACCCAAGUACCUAGGGUCUGGCAUAAUUGCUAUAAAAAUAUAACUUUAAAGAAUACAAUUAAAAAGAAAUAAAGUGACGUGAUUAGUUAAAAACUAAAAAUAAAAAAAAUAGACUUAACCUCAUUUUUUUUAUUUUGUUCAGAAGGUCUCUUUUAAAUAAUAUUGAUUUUUUUGUUAUGAGUUUAAUUUUCAGAGAGGUUUUCUAGUGUAUUUAUGGUUUUGUUUUUGUCUUUUAUAUAAAUAAAUUAUAUUUUUAAAAAUAAAAAAAAUAUUUAUUUUCAAAUAAUAUUUUUAAUACAUAGAGAGACCUUUGAUCAUUAGAUGAUGCCUCUAAAUGAGGCUCCACAUUAUAAAGGCAUAAUAGAGAGAGGAUGAGAAUAAUUAUAGACCAGUUAGGUGGCCAGCAGUAUACCGCAGGCUCACUUUUAAUUUCUAAAAUAAAACUAGGUGAGGAUCCAAGCCUAUUUAGGUCCUUCCCAAACAGGAGCCAAGCAUAUUUAAGUCCUGUCACAGUUAGGCCGGGUAGGACCUAAGGUUAUUUGGAUCGUGUACUUGACAGGACCCAAGGUUAUUUUUUUAGUCUUGCAACUAAUAAUUUAUUUUUAAUUUCUAAAUAAAACUAAAUGUAAAAUUAAGUAUAAUUUGAUAAAAUUAUUAUUACAAUACAUUUGGUAAAAUUAGUAAAUGAUAUAACAUUAAAUGAAAAAAGGGCGGGUAGCUGAUGUGGAGGUUUUGGCGGGUGAUUUUUCCGAAAGAAUCACCGACGGAUUCAAAACGGGUGACCCGUACGUGUGAUGGGACCGGUUCACCGUUCAAAAUACCGACGGAAUCACCGACAUAAUUGAAAUGGCAGAUUCGUACGGGUGACGUGACCGGUGCACCGUCAAAAAUACCGACGGAAUCACCGAGGGAUUUGAAAAGCAGGUCCGUGCGGUGACGUGUCGAUUUCCCGUCAGAAUGACCGACGAAGUCACCGACAUAGUCACCGAUGGUUUUAUUCCGUCGGUGAGGCCGUCGAAAAAAGUAAAUAUAUGGCUACUCUGCUGACACUCUCCUCCCUCAUAUCUCCUUCUUCUUCCUAAUCCUAACUCUCCCCAUCUACAAAUAACCAGCCCCCUCUCGCCCCCAAAUAAAAAUCUUGCUCAUCUCAGCACAACAAGUUGUAUUUCUUGAAGUUUUAUGGUCACAACAUCAGUGUUUUGAUUUACCGACUGAUUUUAUCAAUUUUUGUAAGUAAUUCUAUCUAUUUAAAUUUUAACAUUUAAAUGCCAAUUUUAUUGUUUUUUUAGUAUAUGUAUUUUUGUUAGUAGAUGUACGUGUUUUAUUGUUAUUUCUCAAACAAACUUGUAGUAUAUGAAUGUAUAAUUUUAUAUCUGUUAUGGUUUGUUUUAGAUUUUGUAAGAUUGUAUUUGUUUGUAAAUUGUUAAAACUUUGUGGAAUUACCGAAUUACAUGUUCUGUUUUGAAAUAAUUAAUAGCUUGCUUAAUGAGUCCUUUUUAAGUUUUAUCGAUGGUAUUGCAGAGUGGUAAUUUCUGCUAAUUUAUAUAUAUUAAUUGUAUGGACGUUGAUAAAUGAUAAUGAAUAUUUAAUAUUUAUGAGAAGUUGUGAUUGGUUUGUUGGAUAAUCUCGAGGUAAAGUAAUAUUUUUGCAAGUUUAUUUACCUAACUUAGUUAAUUAAUACAUGAUGUCAUCAUAAUUUUAUAGAGGUUCGAUAGAAGUCAUGGAUGAUCGUUCAUGGAUGUAUCUAGAUUCACCCCAAGGAUUGCGGAGGAUGGAUUAUUGUAAUGGGGUUCAGGGUUUUAUUAAUUUCGCAACAUCUAUUCCCAGAAAUUUUACUGGAGGCGGUAUUAGGUGUCCAUGUAGGAAGUGUCAAAAUAAAAAGUAUCUGCAUCCAGAUGUUGUAAUGAUGCAUAUUCUACACAAAGGGUUUAUGGAGGAUUUACAUUGUUGGAAUGCACAUGGAGAGGUAUUUGUUAGUAAUAGAAGAAUGAGAGAAACGGUGGUUGGGUCAACUUCUAGUGCUAGCAACGUGCAUGAAGCAGCAAAUGACAACACUAAUCCUUACAGAAAUAUGGUUAUGGAUGCAAUGAGAAUGAAUCAAGGUAAUGUCAGUCAAUGUCCAAUCGUAGAAGAAGAACCUAAUGCAGAGGCAGCUAGGUUUUUUGAUUUGUUGAAAGAUUCUGACGAACCAUUAUGGGAUGACUGCACAAACCACAGUAAAUCGGCCGUGGCACAGGUGUUCACCAUCAAGUCAGAUCACGGGCUGAGUGAGGGGGUAUGACAAAAUUAUUGAUUGGGCAAGAAGCAUUUUACCUGAAGGGAACAGGCUGAAAGAGAACUUCUAUGCUGCGAAGUCCAUGAUGAAACCCCUCGGUUUAGGAUACCAGAAAAUUGACAUGUGCCCUAACUUCUGCAUGUUAUACUACCUUGAAAAUGCUGAGAUGACCGAGUGCAUGACAUGCGGGCAUUCCCGUUACAAACCCAGAACUGGCAGGGGAAAGACUCUAGUGGCGUAUAAAAAACUUAGAUAUUUCCCGAUCACACCUAGACUGCAGAGGUUAUUCAUGUCACAAGGACUGCUGAGCACAUGACAUGGCACCAAACACAUGAUGCGGUUGAUGGUGUGAUGGUGCAUCCUUCUGACGGCGAAGCGUGGAAACGCUUUAACAGUGUGCAUCCUGACUUUUCAGCUGAAUCAAGGAAUGUUCGUCUUGGGUUGUGUACAGACGGAUUCAACCCAUUUGGGUCAUUUAUGCUCCCUAUUCUUGUUGGCCGGUCAUACUCACAUUUAUAACUUGCCACCGGGAAUGUGUAUGAGGCCGGAGUUCAUGUUUUUAUCUACUGUCAUACCUGGUCCAAGCAGCCCGGGGCGGAAUAUAGAUGUUUGUCUUCGACCGUUGAUUGAUGAGCUGGCGCAGUUGUGGUCCUCCGGAGCUCUGACUUAUGAUAUAUCGAGGAAACAAAAUUUCCUUAUGAGGGCGGCUUUGAUGUGGACUAUCAAUGAUUUUCCAGCUUAUGGAAUGCUUUCUGGUUGGAGCACACAUGGAAAACAACAAGGCAUUCACGCUAGCAAACAGAGGUAAAGCUUCUUUUUUUUACUGUCACCGUCGCUUCUUGCCACUUAAUCACAGGUUCAGAAAGAACAGAAAAGAUUUCUUUGUUGGCAGAGUUGAAAAAGAUGUUGCAUCCCCGCGUCUUUCUGGUGAAGAAUUGCAUCAUGUUGUAUCAGAGUACGGUGACAUUGUGUUUGGCCUUCAAUCAGGUAAGCAAAAGUUUCCUGGUUUUGGUUUGACCCAUAAUUGGGUAAAGCGAAGUAUCUUUUGGGAGCUUCCUUAUUGGAAGACCAAUCUUCUCCGCCAUAACCUUGACGUCAUGCACAUCGAAAAGAACGUGUUUGAGAAUAUUUUCAACACCGUCAUGGAUGUGAAGGGGAAGACAAAGGACAACAUCAAGCUAGAUUGGAUAUAGCUUUAUACUGUAACCGUAAAAAUAUGGAGUUGGUUUAUGGAGUCACGGGUGCAAAACCAAGGGCAAGCUUCGUGUUAGAGAAAAACGCACAACUGCUAGUCUACAAAUGGCUUAAGAGUCUGCGUUUUCCGGAUGGACAUGCAUCGAACAUAUCAAGGCUUGUUAACAUAGAGGACUGCAGAUUGUAUGGAAUGAAGAGUCAUGACUGCCACGUGUUUAUGCAAACACUCAUCCCAUUAGCUUUUCGUGAUUUGUUGCCAAAGGGAAUAUGGGAUGCACUGACGGAGAUCAGUCAUUUCUUCAGAGAUAUAUGCUCCAGCAAGUUGAAUGUUGAGCACAUUGAGAGGCUUCAAACGAAUAUCAUCGAGACACUAUGCAAACUUGAGAUGAUAUUCCCUCCUUCAUUUUUUGACUCAAUGGAGCAUCUCCCUAUACAUCUACCGUUCGAGGCAAAAGCUGGAGGACCGGUCCAGUAUAGAUGGAUGUACCCAUUCGAACGGUUAGAUAUUACAGUUGCAAUGGAAUUCAUAUCUAAAAGUAUUUUAUAUGUUUUUCUUAAUUGGAAAUACUUGAAUUGUAAUUCAAUGCAGGUACUUGUUUAAUCUCAAGAAAAAGGUUAAGAACAAGGCGCAUGUUGAGGCUUCGAUAUCUGAGGCCUAUAUUGUUGAAGAGAUCUCAACAUUUAUCUCGUACUAUUUCGAACCUCAUCUGAGAACAAGAAUCAAUCGCGUUCCACGGCAUGAUGAUGGCGGUGAAGUGCCUUCCAGUGGGAACUUGUCAAUAUUCUCCAAUACUGGACGACCCACACCUAAAAAUGCCGUAAGAGGAAGAUAUUUGUCGGAAAUAGAAUUCAAACAAGCACACAACUAUGUUCUAUUUAACUGUGAUGAGCUGAGACCAUUUAUUCAGUAAGUUUAUAUAUGUGUAAUACUAAUUAAACUUUGUCAGUAAUAUACUGUUAAUUAUAUUAUGAAAUCAUACACUCAUUAUCACUUGCAGGCAACAUCGACAAUAUUUGCUCUCCAAUAACUCGCAGCUGACCGAUCCCAGAUCUUUCAAUUACAAGAUGAACAAUUUGCCACAUGGUUCAGAACACAUGUAAGCACUAUCACAAACUCAUUCUAACUGCAAAAUUACUGUACGUAUGCAUGUCAUUACGAGAUUCUCGUUCAUUUACCGUUUAUUGAUGUACAUUACAUGUAUACAAGGUUUAUCAAAUGGGAAGAGUGCCGUCAAGUCAUUGUCUUCACUAAGCCUCGGCCUGAAAGAAAAGUUAAGUGCUACAACGGGUAUUUUGUCAAUGGAUAUGUUUUCCAUACUGAAGAAUACGGGCAAGGAAGAAAGACAUACAACUGCGGUGUUUGUGUUAAAGGAUCCACAAGUAGUGAGUUAGAAGUUGACUACUAUGGUAGAUUAGAAGAGGUCGUCGAACUACAAUAUCAUAGCGAGCAGAAUACAGUGUUUUUAUUCAAAUGCUAUUGGUAUGACACGACGGACAGAGGAAUCAGAGUUGAUACGCACCAUGGUCUGGUCGAAAUCAACUCAAAAGCUAGACUCCGCAACAUAAACGAUGUCUUUGUUUUCGCAAAGCAAUGUCAACAAGUUUAUUACACAUACACCCCUUCAUUUAGAAAGGAUCGAUCAAGAGUUGAUUGGUUGUCCGUUUUAAAAACGAAACCACGGGGUCGUGUCGAGGUUGUUCAGGAUGAGAACGAAGACACAAGUGUGCGGAUGAAGUCUUUCAAGUUAGUGAGUUGGUUGAACCAUAUCGAGUUGCUCCUUCGAUUGAAUUGGAAGAAAAUUCAAAUUUUUGUGUUUCCGAUGAUAAUCUUGUUGAUGUUGACGUAAAGGAGUUUAACGUUGUUUUGAGCUCUAGCGGACAAGCAAAUGUCGAUGAAGAAGAUGAUAUCCAUAUUGAAGAUUGUGAUUAAGGUGAUGAUUAUUCAAUUGAUGAUGAACAAGAAGAUAAUUCUGAGUAACUAUCAAAACGAAGCCCUAUAUAAAACCCUUUUCUUCAUGUAAUUUACAUUAUGGAUGAUAUAUUUUAUAACACAAAAUAUAUAUUUAUUGUUUAAACACUGUUGCUAUUGUUUUGUGCGAUGGAUAGUUUAUCAUUGAUUUUUUUGCAGGAAGGUAAAUAGAAAAUACAAACACAACAUCUCUUGUACAUUGAACAAUCACCGACGUCCAUACCGACAGACCGCCGUCCGUCGGCAUCUCACAGAGAGUUCAAAAAUAAUUACAGCAAAAUGCCAUAAUCAUCUACGCCCAUACUGACGGACCAAAGUCUUUCGGCAUCUCACAGAGAGUUCGAAAAUAAUUAAAGCAAAAUGCCACAAUCACUAAUGUCCAUACCGACAGACAGUAGUCCGUUGGCAUCUCACAGAGAGUUCGAAAAUAAUUACACCAAAAUGCCACAAUCACCGACGCCGGUACUGAUGGACCACCGUCCAUCGGCAUCUCACAGAGAGUUCCAAAAUAAUUACACCAAAAUGCCACAAUCACCGACGUCCAUACCGACAACGUUAUCGACGUCCAUACCGAUAAAAUAGGUCCGUCGGUAAGUUGUCGGUGGACAAAUUUUACCGAUAAAAAUACCGACGGAAUUUGCGAAUUCCAAAGGGUGUGAAUUGAAUGCACCUCUGACCGUGUCAGCUUACCGAUGGAAUCACCGACGGACCGCGAAAAAUAUGGAGGGUAAUUAAAAAAUUCGGUGCGAAAUUCAAAAAUUACCGAUGGAUUUUUAGCACGUUAACGACAGAUUUAAUUUAAAAAAUAAUAAUUUAUAUUUCCAUCGGUGAAUCCGUCAGUAAAACUGCACUAUAAGUUCUUGCUACCGCCCCUUCAGUUCAUUUUUUCUUCUCCUCCGUUUCUAACGUUUCUCAUCUUAGAAUUUUGAUUUUUUUCCUCUCAAAUCUUCAAGCUUUGUUGAAUCUCUAGCAAGCUUGGUUGUGAAUCUUCAUCACAUUAAAAGGUAUGUGUUUUUUUAUAUUUCAUUUUAUUUUAUUUUAUUUAUAGUUAUUUUUAUGCUUUUUAUGUUUUUUGUUUUGUUGUAUUUUUUUGUAAUGUAGAUAAUGUUUUUGUUUGAACACAUUAUUAAGGUAUGCAUAUUUCUUCCCUAAAGUCUAUAGUUUUUUUUUAAAAAAAAAUUAUUGAAUAUUUUUUAUUGUUGUAUUGGCAUAAUUGUUAUUAGUUAAUUUGUUGAAUAUUUGUUUGUUAAUGUUGAAUUUACCUUAGAAUUAGUAAUUACAUAUGUUGGAAUAAUUAGUAAUUUUACUCUAUUAUUGCAUGAUUUGUGUUUAAUUAUUUUCAUUGUUUUUAAUUGUUAGUUUAUAAUUUUUUUUUAAUUUAUUGAAUAAAUUUUAUUGUUGUAUUGACAUAAUUAUUGAAUAAUUUAUUGAAUUAUAAUUGUUAAUGUUGAAUUUACCUUAGAAUUAGUAAUUGGAUAUGUUGGAAUAAUUAGUAAUUUUACUCUAUUAUUGCAUAAUUUAUAUUUAAUUAUUUCCAUUGAUUUUGCUUGUUAGUUUAUAAUUCUUUUUUAAUUUAUUGAAUAUAUUUUAUUGUUGUAUUGGCAUAAUUAUUGAAUAAUUUGUUGAAUUGUAAUUGUUAAUGUUGAAUUUUCCUUAGGAUUAGUAAUUGAAUAUGUUGGAAUAAUUAGUAUAGAUUGGGUCAAUUGGUUGUGGCCAAGGUUGUUAAAAUCACGAUUUUAACACCGCACGGAAAGCUGCACACAAACUCGGAUCGUAAAAACAGAUCGUAAAAUCGUAAAAUCGUAAGGAAUUUUAAAAUAUAUUAAAAAAAAAAAUCAUACUUCAAAUAAAAAUUUAUAUAUAGUUCAAGCACCUUAAAAAACAUGCUUCAAAUAAAAAUUCAUAAAUAUUUCAAGCCUUCAAAUAAAAAUUCAUACAUAAUUCAAACAUCUUAAAAUACAUGGUUCAAAUAAAAAUUAUACAUAAUUUAAAAUAAUUUUUCAUUAACUAAUCAUUGUCUUUGCCAUUAUCAUUGUCCUGAUCCUUCUCGUUGCUGUGAUUCUCACUCUUACUCUGAACACAUGUGUCUCCAGCAACUUCACAUAAAAGAGCAAAAGCUAUAACAAACUUCAAAUUUUUCUAACACUGAGCAAUCAGUAAUCAGCAAAGGUUCACAUAUUCCAAUCAGUAUACAGGUUAUGAUUGCAAAGAACAUAAAAAGUAAUGCUGGUUUACAGAUCAAGCGAAAUUAAUAGGCUUACCAAGAUCCCAUACUUGAAAUUUGAUAUUGUUGUACUGAACUGUUUCCACAUUAAAUCCAAUUACUGCAUUAGGAAAACAAACGCUUCAGUUAUGAAUUCUGAACAGAGUAACAAAUUACUCGACCCCAUUACAGCAAAACAAUGACAGAAAUUUAAAACUAAAAAUGCAAUUCCCAUAUCAAGGGUCAUUCAUUAACUGAUCCAUUGGAGGAAAAACACUCGAUAGAACUGAAAAAGGCAAUGCAAUUGGAAUCUUACGCAAACCAAAAACAACAAAUCGCAUCUCAUCAGAUAUCCAGAUUCAAUAAUGUCAAUUUUGGAUUCAUACUCUCAGUAACCAAACAAACAAACAUUAAAUUUCGAUGAAAAUAACUACGAAAAGACACUAACUUGAAUGGUGGAUACAACUUCGCCCAUCUGAAGCCGAUCUGCAUCAAAAACCAAAAUCAGAACACACAAAAAUUCUCAAAAUUCAAUAAAUACUCAUCUGAAGUUUAUUCAGCAUUCCCAUUGCUCUGAUUCUAACCUUUAUUCUCUUCAUAUGGAUAUUCACAUAAAGACGGUUCAGGUUGCCGGAGUCCAUCAAGUUGAUGCCGUGCUUUUCUAAAUAAACCCAAAUUUUCAAUCAUGAGGCAGAAACUUCCGCAGAGCUUCUUAGAUUAUUAAAGACCCAUUCAUAAACACUGUUAUCACAAAAUAAAAAUUGAAGCAGUCGGUGAAAGACCCAUUCACAGACCCAUCAAAAAAUCAAAAUUCAAGCAGUCGGUGAGAGACCCAUUCACAUACUUGUUUUCGGUGAGAAACCCAUUCACAGACCCAUCACAGACUUAGGGAUUUCGAUUUGUUCUGGUUCUGUGAAUUGUGAAAGACUGAAAAAAGAUGAAGAAAGAUGAAGAUUUUGGUUUUGUUUUGCGUGUUAGUCACAUGGUGUGACUGUGUGUGUUGUGUAAUAGUCAAUAGGCCAAUACUUGCUUGACACGUGGAGAUGGAGAGAACAGUGGCGCCCAAUUUCUGUAUUGUUAUAGACGCGUAAAAUCGGGUGUAAAAUCGCGAUUUUGCGUGAUUUUACCCGAUUUUAACGAUUUUACCCGAUUUUACCAAUUUCCGAGUUUAGUGAACGAUUUAGCACGUUUAGCCUAUAUGAACUCGUAAAAUCGUACGAUUUUACGAGUUGACUCGCGAUUUUAACAACCAUGGUUGUGGCUAUUGUUAAUAUUUGCAGGUUUGUGGAUUUGGGUAGUAUUCAGUAUAGGGGAGGUGCUGCUGAAUUUUUUUUAACAAUUGAAUUUAAUUAUACAACUAUUUAUAUAAAAUUGGUUAGAUACACAGAAUGAAAACCAGAGCUUCACGUCCGGUCGCAUCAAGUUCGUCUAGCAGCAAAGAAGAUAUUUCCUUAGGUGACUCUCAAGAAGAGGCACCUACACCACUUGUGGCGUCAACCGAUGUUGCCUCUUCCAGCUCUAUUUCACAGCGUAGAACCAGCAUGCCUUCGCAGCGGAAUCGAUUUUCCUGCAAGUACGAGGCACAAUGGAAGGACGAUUUUUCAAUGUAAGUUUGUUAAGGUUUUAGUUAAAAAAAAAAACAAAUUUAAAACAUAAUUUAUGAAGUCACUAUUUAAUUAAUUUCAUUUCUUUUCAGGUUCACAAACAUUGAGGCCGCCCGAGUAAUAUCAUCGGCGUUUAAAUCGUCGAUGGAGAUUCCAUUGUUUCAACGAAGUAAGAUAUCCAAGCAUCCUGAAUGGAUGCCUCAAAUCAAUGCAUGGUUUCCCAGAUUUCAGAUUCGUUUUAAUAUAUAAUUUUUAGCUUAUUUCUAAUAAAUUCUUCGUAUAAUUGUCAAUAAAUUAUUAACAUUUUAAAAAAUUAUCUUUUUAUACACAGAAUCGAUUCUGCUGGAACGAGGAACAUAACACUGUUGUGAGGAGGGUGUGGGAAAAUCACGUGGCAACUAGGUAACAUCGAAAACAAUACAACUUUCUUUUUACAAAAAAAAUUAUGUUUCGAAAUGUAAUUUUUUCUUGCGUGAAGUAGGUUGCGUGAUUUUUGGUACGAAGCCCAAAAAAAGAAAAAAAAAACUGGGAGGGAUAGGGGGUUCCAAGGCUGGAACAAUGUUGCGGUUUGGUGGGAUUUCAAACCGAUAUACAUCCCGGAAGAUAUAUGGCCGCACUAUCUUCAGCACGUGACGUCUGAGCGGUUCACACGAUGCUCACAGUCUGGUGUUGGCAACCGGAAUCGGCCAAUUCAUGGCUCGGUGACAAUGCACACCGACGACUCUGUUCCGUUUGCUGCACAUGCGAAACGGAUGGUAAGAUUAAUUUAAAUGAAAUAUAUCGUUCAAUUAAUUUGUUGUUAAUAAAUAUUUUUCAUUAUAGGCUACGUCUCUUGGAUGUGAACCGAGCCCUAUGGAGCUGUUUGUGGAGACGCACGUGCGGAGUCAAGACCGCCAAAAGGGAGAGCAACAGUUCGUUGACAGACAUGCUCAACAUUUUGUGGUAUGUUUGUUCAACCAUUUUAUUUUGUAAGUUAUUAUUAUGUUUAUUGAAUUGAAUAUGAUGAUUACUUUUUUUUUUUUUUUCAGGAGACCUAUAAUAAUCGGUUGAGGGAGACAUACGGGGACGAUCCUUCGACCCAUUCGGAAUUCGAUCCGGAUUUGUGGAUGGAGGCUGGAUCGUCAGGUGGACCCAAUAAGAAUCGGGUUUACGGGCUCUCCAACACUACAGCCGACAACUUGCGCACGACCCAUACUGCUUCAACCGUCGGAAGCUCUCAAUCAGUAUCGAGCUCCCAAUCUAAGGAGUUCGUGGCCUUGCAGCAAAAGUGCGACCACCUAUCAGAGGCGUACACACAACUCAAAGAACAAUACAAAGCAGAUUCUGAACAACAAAGAGCGGCCUAUGGGGAGCUUCGUCAAAUAGUCAUGAACAUGGCGCAAGGUGGAACAUGUGCACCCAAUCCUUUUUGGCCGCAUAACAGCCAGCCUCCUCCUCCUCCUCCUCCUUUAUAUUAAUUUUUAAUAAACAUUAUUUACAUUUAAAUUUUCAUUUAAUGUUUUUUUGAAACAUUUCAUUUUGUAAUGAAUAUUAUUUAUCUUUCAUUUUUUGUUUUUAAUGCUUAAUAUAAAUUUUAUUUCCAUAAUUGGUUUUUAUUACCAUUAAUUUAUAUCAUUUUAUAUUAUGUAUUCUAAAUAAUUAUAAAAAAAACAAAAAAAAACAAUUACAAAGGGAUUUACCGACGGAAUAAAUCUGUCGGCAUUAGAUAGUAGCAGCAACCAUCACCGAAAAAUUUCCAGACGGAUACUCUCGGUCAGUGUUUUCAUGACUCACCAACAUAUUUACCGACGGAAUAAUUCUGUUGGUAUUAUAACUUACCGACAAAUUGACAGACAAUAUAUUUUGUCGGUAUUUCAACAAUUCACCGACGAAGUAACCGUCGGUGACUUGUGAUAUCACCGAUGGAAUAAAUAUCCGUCGGUAUUUUUGAAGAGGGAAACUUUUUUUUUUGGCGCACAAAAUUCCGUCUGUAAAACCGUCGAUAAAUGAUUUUUUUGUUUUUCCGAUCGAUAUAGCGACGGAAUGUGGAAUCACCGAUGAAAGGUAAGCCGACGGACGUAUUUCAUCGGUAAUGUAGUCGGUAAAUAAUUUACCGACGUACUAUCAAUCACACACCGACGGAAUAUUGCCGUCGGUAAAACUGUGAAUUCUUGUCGUGUCCUGUCUGUCAUCGAAACUCAAUUCCAAACAAAGCAGGCGCUUCUUAUUCUUCAGUUGUGCUUCUGCAACGUCACUCGCAUCUUCUUUACCUCCUCCUAGAUUUCGUAUCUCAAGACUCCCUCCAAUAUGAUUUAAGUUUUUUAGAGUGUGUUUGGUAUAACGGUAGUUGUUAUGGUUGUGGUUUUAAAAAAAUUGUUUUUUUUUAUAAAAAAUACUUUUAGUUGAGGUUGGUUUGAAAAAAAUAGGUGUUUGGUUAAAAAUGUGGUUGAAAUUAAGGUUGAAGAAAAAGUAGUUUAAUGUGUUUGGUUAAGAAUGCUUUUGAAAUUGAGGUUAUAAAAGAAUUUAAAUAUAUAUAUAUAUAUAUAUAUAUAUAUAUAUAUAUAUAUAUAUUAAUAUUGAUGGUUUUAAAUUUAAAUAUUGUAAAAUUAAUUACUCCUAUUACAUCAUGAAAAAAAUAAUACUUUAUAUAAAAUAUUUUUUAGUAUUCCAUUAAACUAUUUAUAAUUCCAUUACGUACAAAAUUCAUCCGAUAAAAACUAUAGUUUUCAUAAUUUUUUGAGCGUGUAAUAAAAUUAGAUAAAAUAUUAUCAGAUAUAAAAUUCAUAUUACUGUGCGAGUGAAUUUAAUUCAUUGUAUACUAGUUUUUCGAGAAACAAAUAUUGUUCACACUGCGAAUGAAUUUAAUUCUCUAAACUAGUUUUUUUUAAAAAAAAAUUAAUACAAUUAACAUACUAAAAAAAAAAACUUGCGGACAGUGCAAAUGAAUUGCACUGUUCACGUGAACAGUGCAGUGAAGUGCACUGUUCCUUAUUUUUUAUACCCUGCAGUGCAUGAAAAGCAGGUUUUCAUAGCUUUUCCUUUACAUCGUUUGAAACGCAAAAAUCAUGUGGGCCCCAUGCACAAUAAAUUUUUUUUUUUAUUACCAAACGGCUGCGGACUGCGUUUUAAAUAAAACGCAGCCGCAACCGCGUAGACAAACAGAGUCUAAGAGGGCUUGAUCAUCUUUAUUGGGAGGGUUUUCUUUAGUAGGGACUACAAAAUUUGUUGAUCCAAAUUUUACUUGUUAACUUUAUUAUGUAGGUAUUUAAAAAAUUAUGGUAGUGGUUGCUUUUCAAUAUUUUGUUUUCUUGAAAAUACAUUAAGAUAAUGUUUUUUAUCUUUUAAAAUUUAUUUUUCAUAUCAAUACAUCAAAAUGAUCCAAAAAAAUAAUUAAUAAAUUAAAUUGAAGCAUUUUUUCUCUUCAAAUUUGUAAUGAAAAGCAGGUUGAAACUCAAUGACAAACACUCAAAUCAACCCUGGGUCAGGUUGUAAGACUAUGUUAAUAACUAUUUUUAUUCUUAUAUUGACUCGGGUUAAUGGUCAACCCUACUCAUAACUUGGGCUUUGUUCUAGGUCAGUCCUCUAUUCAAGUUUUAAAAUUAUUUUUUUAUCCUUACAAUGACCUAAGUUAAUUAUUGUUGAAUAAACUUUUCCCACCCUUUUUAGUGGGAUAUAAAUUUCUCCACUACAAUAGCCUUGAACAAUAUAAAAAUUGAUUUGUGUACCAUCUAAAGGUGCAUUAAACAACUUCAUGAAAAAAAUUGUCAUAUCAAGUCUAUUAUUGUCCGCAUAUCAAACACUGCCUAAAAGUAGAACAAAUAAAAAAACAACUAAAAGGGAAGGGGAUUUCCCUAUAGUCAUAGACACAAUAUACUACUCACUACAAUAGUGAAGUGGCGUCUAUGGUAUUCCAGGAAAAAAAUGGUUUGUGUUUUAACCAGGGGUAUUUUUGUAUUUUCAUACAACAUAUUUGUUAUUAUAAAUUUAUUUGGGGGUAUUUUAGUCUAUUUUAUAUUUUAUAAAUAGUAAAUUAACAAAAACACCCCUGAAGAUAAGAAAAUCAACACAAUUGGGGCAAGGUUAUUUCAAUAUCUUUCGUUUUUUUACAAAUAAAAAAAAUUACACAGGUUCCCUAGAAUAUAAGUAAUUUAAUUGGGGUCAGGGGUACUAGGAACUUUUAGCCUCAGUUUUUUGUUGUUGUUAAUUGUAAGUUUGAUUAAGGGUAAGAUAAUAAUAUAAUUUUACAUUUAAAUAAUAUUUUUAAAUUUGAAAAGGUUGUUAGGGCGUGUCAGUUGAUGCGCACUUCGGGCGGCGUGCACGAUAGCUCCUCGUAGUAAAAAAUAGGCUUCCAUUGUUUCAUUUUAUUACUUGUUGUUCUCUUUUCCAUUAUAGGUGGCAUGUAUCGUUCCAAUGUGAUUGGUUUAUCACUAGUGAUCCUUUCUUGUUUUUUUUUCUCUUUGUAUCUUUUUUCUACCCCAAAAAAUGCAUUAUGGUCCUCAUUGUUAUUGGUAUUUCACAUUCAAUCCUUUUAGUUUUGAUUUUUGUAGUUAUUUUUUUAUUUUUUUGUUAAAUUUUUAUUUGUUUUCAAUUUAACCCUUAAUUUCUAAUUUGUAUAUUGUUUUUUUCUUUUUCGAUUCGGUCUUUCUACUUUGAUUUCUUUUCUUUCUUUUUUUUCAUUUUCCCCUUCGUUAAUAUUUUUAUGACUUUCAAUUUUAUCCUUCAAAUCAAGUUUAUGAUUUUUUUUCAAUAAGAAUAAUAAUAAUUUCAAUUUGGUCCAUUUUCUCUUCUUUUUUUCUUCUUUCUUGCCCUUUUUGUCAACAUUCUUAUGACUUUUAAUUUUAUCAUUCAAAUCAAGUUUAUGAUUUAUUUUUUCAAUGAUAAUAAUAAUGAUUUCAAUUUGGUCCCUUUUUUUAUUUUAUAUUGUUUUUCUUGAUCCUUUUGUCAAAGUUUUUAUGGUUUUCAAUUUUAUCCUUCAAAUCAAGUUCAUAGUUUUUAUUUUUAUUUUCAAUAAUAAUAAUAAUAAUAAUGAUGAUGAUGAUGAUGAUGAUGAUGAUGAAAUAUAAUAAUAGUGAUGAUGAUGAUGAUGAUGAUGAAAUAUAAUAAUAGUGAUGAUGAUGAUGAUGAAAUAUAAUAAUAGUGAUGAUGAUGAUGAAAUAUAAUAAUAGUGAUGAUGAUGAUGAUGAUGAUGAAAUAUAAUAAUAGUGAUGAUGAUGAUGAAAUAUAAUAAUAGUGAUGAUGAUGAUGAAAUAUAAUAAUAGUGAUGAUGAUGAUGAAAUAUAAUAAUAGUGAUGAUGAUGAUGAAAUAUAAUAAUAGUGAUGAUGAUGAUGAUGAUGAAAUAUAAUAAUAGUGAUGAUGAUGAUGAUGAUGAUGAUGAUUAAAUUGGUGGUGGUGUUGGUGAUAAUAAUAAUAAUAAUAAUCAAAGUUUUUAUGGUUUUCAAUUUUAUCCUUCAAAUCAAGGUCAUAAUUUUUAUUUUUUUUCAAUAAUAAUAAUAAUCAUGAUGAUGAUGAUGAAAUAUAAUAAUAGUAAUGUUAGUUAUGAUGAUGAUGAUGAUUAAAUUGGUGGUAGUGGUGGUGAUAAAAAUGAUAAUAAUAUUAAUGAUAAUAGUUUAUUAUGAUAGUAAUAAUAGUGUAAAUUUUGAUAAUAAUAGUAAUGAUAAUGAUAGUUGUGAUGAUGAUAAUAAUAAUAAUAAUAAUGGUGGUAGAGGUGGUGGUGGUGGUGGUAACAGUUUGUUAUAAUAAUAAUGGUGGUGGUGGUACUAAUAAUAAUAAUAAUAAUAAUAAUAAUUGUUACACAUGUAUUGCGUUGCAACAAUCGUCCUCCCGAAAUAGGAUUGGCAUGAAAACGUAUGAUGGAAAGAACAAUGAAUUUUUACCAUUUAUUAAUGAAACCAAAGGAAUAAGAGUCGCAACCUAGUAUUAUAGUUACUAGAAACCUAUUAGUAUGUGAAAGUCUGGGUAAGGACAUAAAUUGUGAAUAAACAUGACAUAUCACCCCUAAAACACCUUACUUAGGGUAAAUUACAUUGUUAUUUGUCUAAAAUAAACUAAGGUUUAGUUGUGUUUUCUAACUGUUGGUCUGUCUAAGAUUUUUUUAAAAAUCAUUUUUAAUAAGUAGAUAUUUAUCUUAUCAUAUUAAAACAUAGCAAUUCUAAAGUCAAAACAUGAAAAAUGGAAAAAAAUUAUCUUUUUUAUUUAAUACUGAAAUCUUAUGUAUAAGUUUAUAUCACAUAUAUUAAACAAAAUUAAAAAAAUUGGUAAAAACUUAGAAAUAAAUGAUAAUUUUUAUUUAUUUAUUAAAAUUUAGAAUACAUCUUACAUAUAAAUUUUUAAUCCCAGAUAUUGAAAGAAAAAAAAUAAUUUUUUCAUAGUGUUUUUGAAAUAUAGAUCAAAUUCUCAUGGCUCUAAUAAACUAGUUAUUAAAUCCAAAAAACAAAAAGCAAAGUAAAAUAUUUUUUUUAUGAUUUUUUUAUAUAAAAAAAUAUACAAAUAUAAUCUAUUUUUGAGAGACUUUGCUAUAUGCAAUUUAAAUAAAAAUUAAAUUUUUUAAAAGAAAGAUUUUUUGCUGUUGUUUUUGUGGUAGGGAACGAAUUUGUUUAAUACCGAAAAAGCAUGUCGUGUGUAGGUCAUAAUUCUAAAUAUUAAAUAUGUGAACAUGGAAAAAUUUGGGGAACCUAAAUUUAAUUGCUAAAUUGUCUUCCAACCAUUAAGGAAAAAAUUACAAAUCGACGAAGGAUGCAUUUGGCAAGAUGCAAAUAAAAUAUUUUUUAUCAAGACUAUUUUGACUGUGAUAUCCAUUUAAAAUAAUUUAUCAUUUACUGACUCAAAACCAAAUAAUGUCAACCACCCACACAAAUCUUAUGAAUUUCAUGAACUAAUAUUCAAAUUUCAUGUUAAAUUAAAGAUAUACACAAACAAAAAUCAUAAACUAACAUUUAAUGUCCAAAAAGCAAUCAUAAUUCAAAAAACAAAAAACUCAAAAAUAACAACAUCAUUUCAAAAUAAAAACACAAAUCAAACCAAAUUAAUAGUGUCCAAACAAUCCCAAUAUUAUACAAAACAAUAAACAAUUUGUCCUAAAUUUCACAAUGUUAUAACAAUUUGUCCAAAAAUAAUUUGAAUUUAUAGAUCGACCUUUUAAAGCAUUUGAAAUUUUCAAGGUAGACUCAAAUAUACACUAGAAGAUCGUUGGAACAGUGAUGAGGCAUGUACCAUGCAUCUCCAACACAGUUGGUGUGUGGAUUCACUCAUUGCCACCGCUGAAGAGGCAUGGGUGAGGGAUCUUAGCCUCCUCAGUCUCCUCUUCGCUCAAACACUGGUGGUGUUCCUUCACAAUUUCUGAGGAAGGAGAUUUGACCUUCCAAAGCUUUUGUCCCCUUUCUUCCUCUUUCUUUUUUUCAGCAAUCUCUCUCUAUAUAUAUAGUGUCUCUUUGUUUUAUGUGUGCAAACCAACACAAGUAUUUGUCAAUUAACUUUUUUUUUUUGUAAAAGAUGUGUCGUAACAAUAUAUGGGUCAAGAAACUUUUUAUUUUACAUAUAUGGACAUUUAAUAUUGCCUCCACUAAUAUUUUUUGGAUUAGAUAGUGUGUAAUUAAUAAAACGCUCAAUCCUAUUACAAUAAUCCAUCCUAAGCAAACCUCUAGGUGAAAUUCGAUACAUCCAAUAAUAAUCAUAAUUUACUUAUAUGAAACCUAUGUAGAAAAAUGUAUAACAACAUCUAUUAAUUAAUAAUAUGAACUAAAUAAAUUAUUGGUAUCCAAUUAAUUAGUCAUCAUUGGUUUAACUCAAAUUUAUUUAAUCUAAUUUUAAUAAUACCCUUAAAUCAUUAAAUGAUGAAAUUAAUAAUAAUAAUAAUAAUAAAAACAUAAAAAAGUACCAAAUCAACCAAUUAUAACCUUCGAAACUUGUGAUCGUGGAUAUAAGAAUGAUAUUGGUUGUAUAUAAGACAAACCAAAAAAAAAAAAAAAACAAAGCAAGAUUCUCAAUAAAAAAAAUAUUAAGGUAUGAAACUGGAAAAAAAUAAUAAUAAAAGAAAAUCCAAGUCAACCUGUAUUAGCCUUUCAGCCCCAUGUUAUUAAUCUUUUAUAUUUGUGAAAGAUCAAAUUGCAUCUAAGUCAACUUUAUUAUAUAUAAAAAAUAACAAAAUGAAAGAUGAAAAAGCUCCUUUGAAGGGAGCUUUAUUUUUUAUUGCUUUCUAGAACAAUUUAGUAAUUUAAUUGUGCUUGGAAAAUGAAAAUAUCUAAAAAGCCUCUUGAUGAAAGCUAAUUUUUCUGUUUUUACUUAUAAAACUAAUUAAAUCAUUUAACUAUUUAUAAUGAAAGUCAAAAGUCAAAUUUGACUUAUUCAAUUUAACAACUCAUGUGUCUCUAUGAAAAGACCAAAUCACCCCUUAAUUGUUAAGUUAGUGGAUGUAUUACAAUUAAUUCUACAUUAGUUUUAGUUUAAAAAAUCAUUAUAAAUUAGUGGAUUGUAAAUUUCAUGGUUAUUAAAUUUUUAUAAAAUUUUUAAACUACUUUUGUAUAUAUUAAUUAAUUUUAAGAGAACAUAAAUUUUGAAACAACUGCUACUCUAAUAGCAGUUAUAUUAAAACCAUACUAUUUUUCUAAUAUUUUGUCAACAUUUUUAUUAUUUUCUCAAAACUCUUAUCACAUACCCCAAAUAAAUUCUCUUAUUGGCACCUAAUUAUGAUCACAGAAUGCAUGUAAGAGUCAAGCCACAGAACUAUAAAAGCACAAUUGAGAAUCAUUGAUAUGAACAGAAGUCGCAAUCGUAAAAAAUAAUGAGUUUCCAAACUCACAAAUUAAUGUCACAAAGAGUAUCGAAUAUGAUUUAACAAUUAAUAUGUAAGCUGUAGCAUUGGGCAAGAAGGGCUUUGAAAAAAAUAUUUUAAGAUAGUAAACAAAACGAAAGCUAGUCCAAGUAGUUGACGGCAAUGGCGGACAAGAAGGGUAGUAGAGGAAGUCAAGACUCAUGCUUCAAGAGGAUGCUCUUGUCUGCAGCUUCUAAAGCAAGGUCACUUAAGCUCAUGCGAUGGAAGAUAAUGGGGCAGGAAAUAUUUCACUAAUAUGGGUCAACCUGGAACACAUUGUAGAGUGUUUUUGAGUUGAUUCUUUCUUUGUUUUGUAGACGUUUGAAGGAAGUGCUAAUGGGAAGCUGAUUGCAUUUAUUUUAUUUGCAUCCUAAUAAAAUUUUAAGAAUAAAUAAUUAUUGUUAGCUUACUAUAAUUAUAAGUUUUUUUCAUUAAGUCACUAUCAUAGUUCAUCAAACAAUCCAAAUUAAAAAGAAAAAGAAAAAGAAAAAAGAAGCAAAGCAAAGCAAAAAAGAAAGAAAAAGAGAUGUAAACAAGCCUAGAAUUCAUAGGGAGGAGAGAAUUCGGACUUGCAAAUAGCGCCUCGUGAUGGGAUAGGAUCCAGACAAGAUGGAGCUCUCCCCCUUUCCAUGCUGAAGAGGAUGAACAGAGUUAAAAUUGGAAUGUUCAUGUUAGAAACCGUUCGCAGCAUAAGAACUUGUCCCAUAUCAAUUUUAAGCUGUCCUCGAGCAUUUUGGAGAUUGAAUCACUUCAGCUCCCCGUUCCUUCAUAAUUCAACAAAUGCAGCUUUAAAUACAAGAAAAAUGUUUUAGAAAUAUUAAAAGCACAGCUUAACACGGGUAUGAAUCUGGAAACUUUAUAAUUUAUAAUAAAGAGCAACUAACUGACGAGGCGUUUAACAAAUCUGUCAGCUCUGGAUGCUCUCAGCAGGUUUUUAUAAAGCUCACAAAUUAGAAGUUUUAUGUGAGCCAAAGCAACAUAAGGAGGCAUAGGGAAAAGUUAACCAAUAAAGGAACUUGCCUGCAUUUCUGUAACAAUUCUUUUCAACUUCAGAUAAAUCUCUCUAGGAGUUUCCCCAAUUCCAGUCCUAAAAUCGUAUGCAUCGCCAUCUCUUAAUUUCAGCCUAAAUGAUGAACUUUCAUAGGCUUUGGUUACUGUGUGCCAAACCCCAAUGACACUAUAUCUUCCACACAAAGAUGCCCCUCCCCAGGGGCCAUCUUAAUCCACCCUUCAUAUCUGAAUCUAGAACUGCAGAAUUGAUCAGAUCUUUAAGGCUAUUCAUCUCCUCAUCCUGCAUCGAUUCAUACAACCAGUCACUCCACAGUGUUACUAUCAGGAGUUAAAUCUACAAUGAAGUUUCUUGGCUUUGAUAUUUUAAGCAGUAUAUAUGAUUAUCAGAAGAAUAAUCUGGCUUAGUUACUAAGUAGCCAAUACCAAAUCAUUGCCUUCUGCUUAAUAAACUAAAAUUUUCAUGCUGGAAAUAAAUUAGGGAAAUCUCUCAUGCAAUUUAGGGAAAUCAUUGUUCCAACUAUGAAAAUCUUUAAUUUUUCAAGCAUGAAAGACCAAUAUCCAGGAAUAUGGUUUUAACCUUCUAAAUUUCGUUCUAGACUCGUUAACCUAUCUCGCUAGUGCAAGCCUAUUCAAUUAAUGCUUGUUUUACAUAUCUUCUCUUCUAGGUGUGAUCAAACCAAGUUCUAGGAUAAAGAUUACUUGCUAUUUUCCAUCAUCACAUUCUUUGAAAUGGAGAAAGCACUGGCUGGACACGAUUAAGAAUGUAAUUGGAGGAAAAUACAAAGGUAGGAUGCUUGCUCAAAUUUUCUCACUAACAGUAUGAUUGUAGCUAAAUUUAUGAUGUUAACUUACAGUUAGAGAUGUUAAGAUCCUGCUGGUGUAAAGCAUUAGCCUGAGGUCCAGAUUCUUAUCAAGACAUGAUACAUCUAUGACCAUCUGACGCACUUGGUUUAGCUCAACCUACAAGAAAUCUUUAUAAUUUAAUGCCACACCAUGAACAAGCAAAAGUAUAAAAGUGGAAACCAUCUUAAAUCCAUAAGUGAAUAUCAGAAGGUGUCCUUGAGAUUACACAAUGUCACAUUGAUAAAGCGCAAAUUACCAAAAACAAAUUAAUUCUACCAUAUAAUAUGACAAAUUAAUAUGAGAGGACAAGACUCCAGGUAGUACAAAACCUGCCUUGUAGAGUUGAAGUUUUUUAUUUUCCAGCACAAUACAUCUGCAUAAAACAGUUGCAUCUGGCCGUGUAUUAUCAGACAACUGCUUGAAGGAAGAAAAGUUAGUUACAAAUUGAAUUAAAAACAUGAGAAAAACACUACCAAGAGUCGGUAUGCAGCAAAAGGGAUACCUUUACAGUGUAAACCUCUUUCUCCUCUUCAAAAUCAACUCCAAUCGCUGGGACCACUCCAUCUAUAAUAUUUUCCAUAUAAGAAGAAGGAAUAUCUGUAUGCAAUGAUCUUCUGAGUUGUCUCAAAAUGGCUUCUUCAACCUGAAUUUUAUUGACACUUUCUAGUCCCAUUGAAUGGCUCCUGCAUCACAGAAAUGGUAUAAUAAUUCUUGCUUGCUUAUCCUUGUAGAACUGAAAUAUAAAACAUGCUUCUUAUGCACUGAUGGAGAAUAUGAAUUUAAUUUAACAUAAGCAGUUAUGGCUUCUAAUAUAAGCGUAUCAACAAUAUCUACGCUACUAGGAGCACCAGCAAAACUUGUUUGGCAGCGAUCAAAGUAAUCAUUAGAGCAAAACAAGUCAUGUGAUACACUAAGGUGUGGCAGAAAAUUAAUAGAUUAAGAAGUCGUUUAGAAAAGUGUCGAAACAAACCAAAUCAAAAUAUUAACUGAGAUACAAUCAUAUGGUCCAAGUUCAUAAGGAAGAACACCAAUUAACUCUAGUCGAGGCCCUUUAUGGAGGAACAAACACUUGUACGUAAAAAGUCCACUGGACACCAGAAGGACUAUAACGGUUCAAAAUUCAAGAAUUAUAUACCUAAAGUGCUUCAAAAAGUUAGAGAAUUCUAUGCCUAGUUCAGGAAGCUUCCUGCUGGAAUGCAACAGGAAUAACUACAAGGAGAACAAAGUGAGACAAUUCCAGGCAACUUCACAACAUUAUCAAUUUUCAGUUGCGUAAUAAAUUCCAUAAGUUGAAAAAAAAAAUGUUGUUCCAAUUAACAUUAACUCAAUUUGCAAUAACUAUAGAGAGAAUUGGAUUGCUCACCCAUGAAAAAGAAAUUUUCCCAAUCGAGCAACCAAUGUUGGCUUUACUUUUUCAGAACCCUGAUCAUCCAUUUCAUUCUUCAAAAUUUCGAAAGAAGAGAGUAGUUCUUGCUGUACGUUUUCCGCUAUAAUUUCCCAUGGACUUCUGGAUCCAUUCCUUUCCGGUUUGCUAUCCUCUAAAUUGCAUGAAAUUUAAUACCAAGGUUUCAAUAAAAGGCAGAAGCAACUAACAGAAGCACAAAUUAAAAAAAUUGCAAUAAGGAUGGUACACGAACCUUCAGUUACAAUGCUAUUGACCAAGACUAGAGGCUUUUCUCCAAUUUUACGCUCAACACAUUCCAGGGAAAUCGGCUCGAGGUGGAUGUAAGGAGGAAACAGUUCAUCAUCGUCCAAGCCAACAGCAAACCAUUUAGAUAUGGCAUGCUCUGCAUAAACAAUCUUUCCACUCUUAUCUUUACGAGAAGUGGAUGCCCUCAAAUUCAUUUUUCUUUGAAAUUGAGGGUGCGGUGUCUCUGGAAUUGGGGGUGCCCUUGUCACAUCCUUGGAAUGCCGCUUGUGUGGAGGAAUGUAAGCCAUCAAAUUUACAGGAAACGUAUGUAGCCUGGCUGUUCCAAAAAGAUGAUCACAACAUUAUUGAAACAAGAAAGCAGAAAGAAACCCACCGGAAAACAAAAGAAAUUCAGUAGCUCCGUUCACAGAUGAUCACAACAUGAAUUACAAAGAAAAAAGAAACAACCCAGAUAAACUGAUGUUGCAAUAAUGAUUUAUUUAAGCUAAGAACUAAGACCCAAAAAUGAAGAAACUGAGUAUGAUUACCUGAGAGUUAAAAACUGUUGUUGAUCGUGCAACGGUAGCUCCGUUCUGGAGGUAUUAUAUUGUUGCAACAUAAAUGCGAGAAUGUAUAUAUAGAACCCCACAUAGAAAGAAAGAAAGAAUAAAGCGGGAAAAGAACUGGAGGAAAACAUUUAUAGAAAAUAAAUAAAGAUUGAAUUUGAACAAUGAAUAUUUUAAAAAAUAAAUUCAGCAUUAUUAUUAUUAUGAAUCCCUUAUUGAGCAUUACUACCCCUAGUAAAUGAAGAACCAGAUUGAAUAUAUGUAUAACCCAUAAAUUUCUAGCUUAUUGUGAUAAUUUUCUUUAAAAAAUCGUUUUUUUUUAGACAAUUAAAAUAGUAAAAUAUCAACCAAAAUACUUUUUUGUACAAUGCUUUGGCAAUAGGAAGGGCAUCUCCAUUAUUGGCCUUCACAUGAUAAAUUGGAGAUCGAAUCGAAUGAAUGUAUAAACAAAGAAAAAGGUAAAGGGAAUAACUUUUUCCGCAUAAAGAAUUUCAACUUAAUUGAGUGUUUGUUAAUAGUUAUGAGUUAAUACCGAAUAUGCCUGCAUGUUUUGCACUCAGUUAAUUUUGUAUUUUCAAGAUAGUAUAAUACGUAGAAGUUUUGAUACAUAUUAAUUUUUAAUAUUUUUGGACCAAAGGGUUUCAUUAUGGAUUUAGUAACAUAGAAGUUUUCUUUCAACAUAUUCCUUUCAGGUGAAAAUAUUUUUUAUCCAUUCAAUGAUUUUUUUCAUAACCAGCCUCACUCUACCCAUAAUCUAUAACUGGAUGGUAAACACAUGUGCAAUGAUUGAUAAUUUACUUUGAUUUGUGCAUCCAACCUAUGAUAGUUCGUCAUAAUCUUUCAAAUGUUUAAAAAACUUGGUCGUGUUUGCAUUUGAUUUUUCAUCUAAAAUUAAACAUAUAUUUGUAUAAUCCUAAUUCAUUCUCAUUGUAUCCAUAAUCAUACUUCUAUAACGAUUACUAUUAUCAUCUACAACUUCAUGCAUGUUGCUAGAACUAGAAUUUGACUCUAUCAUCCUUUCUAUCAUGAUCUCAUAAGGAACAUAUGGUUGUUUAUGUGCAAACCAAUACAAGUAUUUAUUCCUUAAACUUUUUUAUAGAAGAUGCAUCAUGACAAUAUAUGGACCGAGAAACCUUUUAUUUUACAUCUCUUAUAUAGAUAUUUAAUACCGUCUUCACUAAUAUUUUUCAAAUUAGAUAGUGUGUAAUUAAUAAAACUCUAAACUUCAUUACAAUAAUCUAUUAAGGUGAAAUUCUUUAAUUAUUUUCUUUACUUUCAGCCUAUUGGAGAUAGAAUGAAUGUAUAAACAAAGAAAGAGGGAAAGGACCCACACGCACUCAAUUAAGGUGAAAUUCUUUAAUUAUUUUCUUUACUUUAGAUCAUUUUAAUAUACUAACUUCAAGAAUAAUUUUUAAAAAAUAAAAAGUAUUAUUUUAAUAUAUUUUUAAAUAAAAAAUAUUUUAAAAAACAAUCAUUACUAUACUCUCAAACACCCUAUCUUUUUUUUUUUACUAUAUAUAAAGAAUGAAUAAAGAGGAAAAGACACACAAACACUCAAUUAAGAUGAAAUUCAUUAUUUUUUUAUUCUAAAUUAAUUUUUCUUCAUAUAUUUAAAUCAUUUUGAUAUAUUGAUAUCAAAAAUAAUUUUUUAAAAAUAAAAAAAUAUUUUAAUACAUUUCUAAAUAAAAAAAAACACUUUAAAAACAAUGCAAUCUCAUACCUCUAUCUCAUUCUUUUUAUUAUUAUUAUUAUUAUAGAACAAAUAAAGAGGGAAGGGGACAGAUACACACUCAAUUAGGGUAGUAUUUCACUAGGAGGGUUUGAUUUACUUCGUUGGGAGGGUUUUCUUCAGUGGGAACUACAAAAUUUGUUCAUCCGUAUCUUUUCCCAAGAAUAAGUAGUAUCAAAUUAAUAUUUGUAAUGUUUUAUUGUUUGUUCUUGCGUUAUUAAUUAUUUUUUAAACACAAAGUUACUAUGUGGCUUUGCAUUUCAAUUCAACAUGCUGACUUUAUGUGAUCAAAUUAAUAUUUAUCAUAAUUUAAAAUCUGAAUUUACUCUAGAAAAAAUAAAUUUUGCCAACUUUAUGCGCACAAAUUAGGUCUUUGUAAAAAUUAAUGUGUUUAUAAAAAUUAUUUUCCCCCAACUUGAAAUCUCGAACCAUAAACUAGGAAGAAAUCUUGAAUAGAACUAGUAGACCUUAUAACAAAAACUAAAAUAUCAAGGAUAGCUUUCUUGUUAAUUACUUGAAAAAAGAUUGAGUUUGGGAAAUAUAUUUUAAAAAAUAAACUAUAUUUUAAUAUUUAGUUUAUGUCAUGAAGAUUGAGUUAUAAAAUAUUAUAUGAUAUUAGGAUUUAUUAUACUAAAAAAAUAACUUACUCUUUCAUGUUUUUCUUUGUAUUUUAAUAGAAUUUCUCGAUUUAUUUAAGAAUAAAAUAUAGUAGUUCAUCCAUACUAAAAGUAGGAAAAAUACAUGAAAUAUAGCAAUUCAGUGGAAUAUUCAGCCAUAAGGUCGAAGUCGUUGGGUUAAUUCUCUGUUUAGGUUAUAGAAAUCCCUAGACUAUGCUCUGAUACCAUGUCAGAUUUUCUGGAGAAACAGACUAACUUAACUUUAUUAAUUGACUCGAGGUCUAUAUAUAGAGAUACAGGGAAAGGAGUUAAGAGAUGUGUUUUAACUAAACUACUUUUACAUAACAGCCUCUUCUAGGUUGAAGCCUAAAAACUAGGGAGUUGAUAUAUACGACUACAACUAGGAAGUUGAUACAACUGGUGUUUUAUUUCCUUAUAUCUUCUAUUAAUGGCUCACGCUAACAAAAGUAGCAUGUGCUACCAAUCUAGUAUAUCUUCACGUGUGUGUUGUUUUGAUUGUAUGUGUUUAGUUGAUGCAGCAGCGAAGCGCAGGCACCGAAAUAAGAAAAAUUGAUAGCCAUUAAAGAAAUUAAAUCAAACCACACUUCCACAAUCUUUCCUCUUCUUUUUUGUUUUUCCAGUGUCUAUUCUCAAAAACUAACACUCAAACCAUCCAAGUAUAAAAGAAAGAAAGCAAAGAAAGAAAGAAAGAAAAAGAGAUGUAAAGAGGCCUAGAAUUAACAGAGAGGAGAGAAAUCGGACUUGCAAACAGCUCCUCGUGAUGGGAUAGGAUCCAGACAAGAUAGGGCUCUCCCCCUUUCCAUGCUGAAGAGGAAGAAAAGAGAGUUAAAAUUGGAGUGUUCAUGUUAGAAACCGUUCGCAGCAUAAGAACUUCUCCCAUAUCAGUCGUAAGCUGUCCUCGAGCAUUUUGGAGAUUGAAUCACUUUCAGCUCCCCGUUCCUUCACAAUUCAACAAAUGCAGCUUUAAAUACAAGAAAAAUGUUUUAGAAGAUAUUAAAAACACAACUUAACAAAGGCAUGAAUCUGGAAAUUUAUAAUUUAUAAUAAAGAGCAACUAACUGACGAGGCGUUUAACAAAUCUGUCAGCUCUGGAUGCUCUCAUUAGGGUCUUAGAAAGCUCACAAAUUAGAAGCUUUAUAUGAGCCAAAGCAACAUAAGAAGGCAUAGGGAAAAGUCAACCAAUAAAGGAACUUGCCUGUAUUUCUGAAACAAUUCUUUUCAACUUCAGAUAAAUCUCUCCAAAUGUUUCCCUAGGUCCAGUCUUGAAAUCGUAUCCAUCGGCAUCUCUUGUUGUCAGCCUAAAUGAUGAACUUUUAUAGGCUUUGGUUACUGUGUGCGUAACCCCAAUGACACUAUAUCUACCACCAGAAGAUGCCUCCUCCCCCAGGGGCCAUCUUAAUCCACCCUUCAUAUCUGAAUCUAGAACGGCAGAAUUGAUCAGACCCCUAAGGCUAUUCAUCUCCUCAUCCUGCAUCGAUUCAUAUAACCAGUCACUCCACAGCGUCACUAUCAGGAGUUAAAUUCCAAUUAUAUCAGGAGUUAAAUCUACAAUGAAGUUUCUUGGCUUUGAUAGUUUAAGCAGUAUAUAUGAUUAUCGGAAGAAUAAUAUUCUGGCUUAGUUACCAAGUAGCCAAUACCAAAUCAUUGCCUUCUGCUUAAUAAACUAAAAUUUUCAUGCUGGAAAUAAAUUACUCACGAGCAGCUUUGCGCUGUCUAGACUCUAGUUGAAAAUCUCUCGUGCAAAUCUAGGGAAAUCAUUGUUCCAACUAUGAAAAUCAUUAAUUUUUCAAGCAUGAAAAACCAAUAUCCAGGAAUAUGGUUUUAACCUUCUAAAUUUCGUUCUAGACUUGUUAACCUAUCUCGCUAGUGCAAGACUACUCAAUUAAUGCUUGUUUUACGUAUCUUCUCUUCUAGGCGAUCAAACUAAAUUCGGCUGGACACGAUUAAGAAUGUAAUUGGAGGAAAAUACAAAGGUAGGAUGCUUGCUCAAAUUUUCUCACUUCAUGCUCCAAUGAGUGUCUAACGAUCAAGGAGUAUGAUUGUAGCUAAAUUUCUGAUGUUAACUUACAGUUAGAGAUGUUAAGAUCCUGCUGGUGCAAAGCAUUAGCCCGAGGUCCAGAUUCUUAUCAAGACAUGAUACAUCUAUGACCAGCUGGCGCACUUUGUUUAGCUUAACCUACAAGAAAUCUUUAUACUUUAAUACUCCAUGAACAAGCAAAAGUAUAAAAGUGGAAACCACCUUAAAUUCAUAAGUGAAUAUCAGAAGGUGUCCAUGAGAUUGGUAAAGCACAAAUUACCAAAAACAAAUUAAUUCUACCAUAUAAUAUGAAAAAAUUAACAUGAGAGGACAAGACUCUAAGUGGUACAAAACCUGCCUUGUAGAGCUGAAGUUUUUUAUUUUCCACCACAAUACAUUUGCAUAAAACAGUUACAUCUGGCCGUGUAUUAUCAGACAACUGCUUGAAGGAAGAAAAGUUAAUGACAAAUUGAAUUAAAAACAUAAGAAAAAUACUACCAAGAGUCGGUAUGCAGCAAAAGGGAUACCUUUACAGUGUAAACAUCUUUCUCCUCUUCAAAAUCAAUUCCAAUCGCUGGGACCACUCCAUCUAUAAUAUUUUCCAUGUAUGAUGAUGGAAUAUCUAUGUACCAUGAUCUUUUGAGUUGUCUCAAAAUGGCUUCUUCAACCUGCAUUUUAUUCACACUUUCUAGUCCCAUUGAAUGUCUCCUGCAUCACAGAAUUAGUAUAAUUAUUCUUGCUUGCAUAUCCUUGUAGAACUGAAAUAUAAAACAUGCUUCUUCUGCACUGAUGGAGAAUAUGAAUUUCAUUUAACAUAGGCACUUAUGGCUUCUGGUAUAUGCAUAUCAACAAUAUCUACGUUACACUGAUACAGCACCAGCAGAAUUUGUUUUGCAGCGAUCAAAGCAAUCACUAGAGCAAAACAAGUCAUAUGAUACACUCGAAACAAACCAAAUCAAAAUAUUAACUCCAGUCGAGGUCCUAUAUGGAGGAACGAACACUUAUAUGCCUACGUUCUUCCCUUAGUUCAUUGAGUAUGUCAUGGAGAAUAAACAGAGACAAUUCCAGGCAACUUCACAACAUAAGCAAUAUUCAGUUGCAUCCUUCCAUCUAAAAAGGCAUCAUAAGUUGGAAAAAAGAUGAUGUUCCAAUUAACAUUAACUCAAUUUGCAAUAUAUAGAGAGAAGUUGGAUUGCUGACCCACUAAAAGCGAUUUUGCCCAAUCGAGCAAUCAAUUCUGGCUUUAUUUUUUCUGAACCCUGAUCAUCCAUUUCAUUCCUCAAAAUUUCGAAAGAAGAGAGUAGUUCUUGCUGUACGUUUUCCGCUAUAAUCUCCCAUGGACUUCUGGAGCAAGUCCUUUCCAGUUUAAUAUCCUCUUCAUUGCAUGAAAUUUAAUACAAAAUUUAUAAUAAGAACAUUUAACUCAGACACCAUUCAAGGGAAGAAGCAACUAACAGAAAAGGAUGGAACACCAACCUUCAGUUACAAUGCUGUUCACCAAGACCAGAGGCUUUUCUCCAGUUUUACUCUCAAUAUAUUCAAAGGAAAUCGGCUCGAGAUGGAUGUAAGGAGGAAACUGGCCAUCUUCGUCCAAGCCAACAGCAAACCAUUUAUAUAUGGUAUUGUCUGCAUCAACAAUCUUUCCACUCUUUUUUUUACGAGAAGUGGAUGCUCUCAAAUUCAUAUGUCUUUGAAAUUGAGGUUGCAGUGUCUCUGGAAUCGGGGAUGCCCUUCUCACAUCCUUGGAAUGCCGCUUGUGUGGAGGAAUGUAAGCCAUCAAAUUUACAGGAAACGUAUGUAGACUGGCUGCCCAAAAAGAACACAUUAUUGAAACAAGUAGGCAGAAAGAAACCUACAGGAAAAGAAAAGAAAUUCUGAUAUUUCAAGAACCCAGAAGAAAGAAGGAAAAUCCAGUCACAGAUGAUCACAACAUGAAUUACAAAGAAAAAAGAAACAACCCAGAUAAAAUAGUGUUGCAAUAAAUUGAUUAAGUCGAUCAUUUUAGUAAUAAUGGUUUAUUUAAGCUAAGAACUAAGACCCAAAAAUGAAGAAACUGAGAAUGAUUAUAGCAGUAGAGGGACGAUCAUACCUGAGAGUUAAAAACUGAUGUUGAUCGUGCAACAGUAGCUCUGUUCUGGAGGUAUUAUAUUGUUGCAACAUAAAUGCGAGAACGUAUAUAUAGAAAGAAUAAAGCGGGAAAAGAACAGGAGGAAAAUAUUUAUAGAAAAUAAAUAAAGAUUGAAUUUGAACAAUUAAUAUUUUAAAAAAUAAAUUGAGCAUUAUUAUUAUGAAUCCUUCAUUGAGCAUUACCACUACUAGUAAAUGAAGAACCAGAUUGAAUAAAUGUAUAACCCAUAGAUUUCUAGCUUAUUGUGAUAAUUUUCUUUAAAAAAUCAUUGUUUUUAGACAAUUAAAAUAGUAAAAUAUCAUCCAAAAUACUUUUUUGUACAAUGCUUUGGCCUUCACAGGAUAAAUUGGAGAUGGAAUUAAUGUAUAAACAAAGAAAGAGGGAAAGGGACCCACACACUCAAUUUUACCCAAGGUUCUCAAUUCCGUUUCGGUAAGUGUUUCGUUUUUUCAAUUGGAAUGGAAUGUUUUAGUUUCGGAGUGUUUCGGUAUAUCGUUUCGAGGUUGUACUGUUCAUAUAUAUAUAUAUAUAUAUACUCAACAAAAAUAAUUCAAAUUCAAGAUAAAUUAAUUAUAAAUUAUACAAUACAAACACAAUGCCAAACAAAUAUAAUUUCAAAAUUUAAAAUAUUUCUAAAUAGUCAAGAUUAAAUAGAUCUUUAACUUAAAAUAAUUCAACUUAAAUAAAAUAUCAAAAUAUUAUGAAAGUAAAAUAUUUUAACAAAAAUAUUUUAAAUAUAAGGUUAGGUCAACGUUAUCAAGUGGCUAAUGAAAUCUAAAGCAUCCUUAUUUUUGCUCAAAUUCCUACAAAGUAUAAACAUGAAAAAAAACAACAUGAAUAUAAACUAUAUAUAUAUAUAUAUUAGUGAUAAAUUUAAUUUUAAAAAAUUAAUAUCAUUGUUAAUGAAAAUAGUAAUAAUAAUUUUCAAUAUUAUUAUUAAUAUCAUUGCUAUUGAAAAUAGUAAUAAAAAAGAGCUUUUUAUAAUCGGGUGGUUUAAUUAAUGAAAUUGAGCAAGAUUCAAUGGCUUUUCAAGAGCGGAACGGAACAUGUGGAAUGAAAUCGGAACGUUUCGGGCAGAAUUUAGCCGAAAAAUCCGGAACGGACCGAGAUUUAAAAUGAGAUGAAACUUGUUCCAUUUUGUUCCGUUUUUUAAAUUGGUAUGGAAUGUUUCGGCCAUUCCGGGCGGAACGGAACGGAAUUGACAACCUUGAUUUUACCCAUUUGUUUGCAUGUACUUUUGAAAAAUAAAUUUUAGAAAGUUAUUUAAUUUUUAUUGUUUGGUAGUAUGAUAAAAAAUAAAUUAAAAAUUAUUUUACAGUAUUUAAUUAUGUUAUUUAAAAUGAGUUAGAAAAUAGUUUAUUAAUGGUUUAUUUUUUUAAAAGUUUAUUAAAAUAUUAAAGAAUAAAUUUUAUAAAUUAAAAAGUUGAAUGAGAAUGGAAUUGAAAAAAAUCUAUUUUUAUAAAUUAUAUCAAAUAAAAUAAAUAAUAAUUAAAAUAAUAGAAAUAAAAUUUAAUAAAUAAAAAAGUUAAAAAUUAAAAAAUAAUAAAAUUAAAAUAAUUAUAAUUAUAAUUUUAUAAAUUAUUUUAAAUAAAAUAAAUUAGUAUUGUCAUUGUGAUAAAUUGGAGAUCGACUGAAUGUAUAAACAAAGAAAGAGGGAAAGGGACCCACACACACUCAAGUCAGCUCCUUCGCUACGAAGGGUUUGAACAACUUCAAAACAGAGAUAAAGAGUGAAAGGAACCACACAAAGUCACAAACACUCUGAAAUUAUUUACUUUUUUUACUUUAAAUUAAAUUAUUUUUAUAUAUUUAAAUAAUUUUAAUAAAUUAACUUUAAAAAUAAUUUUUAAAAAAUAAAAAAUAUUAUUUUAAUACAUUUCUAAAUAAAGAAUACUUUAAAAAAUAAUUAUUACAAACACCCAUUUUAUUUUUUAUUAUAUAUAAAAAAUGAAUAAAAAGGAAAAGGGAAAGAAACAAACACUCAAUUAAGUUGUAAUGUUUUAUUUAUUUUUUAUUUUAAAUUAAUUUUUUAAUAUUUUAAUAUUAUUUUAAUAUAUUAAUAUCAAAAAUAAUUUUUAUAAAAUAAAAAAAUUAUUUCAAUAUAAUUUUAAAUAAAAAAACAUUUUAAUAAACAAUCAUUUUUAUAUAUUUUAAAAUAUAAAACUCUUUAUUCGUUGUCUAUAUAUAUAUAAAACACGAAUAAAGAGGGAAGGGGACACACACUCAAUUAUGGUAGUACUUCACCAGGAGGGUUUGAUUUACUUCGUUGGGAGGGUUUUCUUCAUUGGGAACUACAAAAUUUGUUCAUCCUUAUCUUUUCCUAAGAAUAAGUUGUAUCAAAUAUUUGUAAUGUUUUAUUGUUCGUUCUUGGAUUAUGAAUUAUUUUUUAAAAUAUAUUUUUAUUUAAAAAACAUUUAAUUGAUAUAUUUUUAGAUGUUUUUAAAUAAUUUUAAUAUGCUAUAUUAAAAAUAAAAAAUUGAUAUUAAUUAAAAAAUAAUUUAAAAAAAUAUCUUAAUUUACAAUAUUUAACACACAUGUUUGAAAAAAAAAUUAAUUCUUAUGUAAAUUGGCAUAUCUCUUAUUUUCAUGUAAAUUAUAAAUAUUUAUAACGAGGGACCAAACUUGAAUUGAUAUGAAUAUAAAGUAACGUGUAUAAUUGGUUUUGAACACAAAGUUACUAUGUGGCUUUGCAUUUCAAUUCAACAUGCUGACUUUAUGGAUCAAAUUAAUAUUUAUUAUAAUUUAAAAUAUGAAUUUAGUACUCUAGAAAAAAAAAAAUUUGAAGUCACUUUUUUUUUUCAUUUGUUUUAACAGUUAGGUAUCUUGAGCCAACUGUGUUUGUAAAUUGUUGUGCAGCCUAUGUUCAAAAAACUAAAACCAAAAAAAGUUAACCUAAAGUGACAAACCU
rnacentral:lncRNA from 1 species